rnacentral:rRNA from 1 species
AUACGGAGGGUGCGAGCGUUAAUCGGAAUUACUGGGCGUAAAGCGUGCGUAGGCGGUUUGCUAAGUCAGAUGUGAAAGCCCCGGGCUUAACCUGGGAACUGCAUUUGAUACUGGCAGACUAGAGUAUGAUAGAGGGGGGUAGAAUUCCUGGUGUAGCGGUGAAAUGCGUAGAUAUCAGGACGAAUACCAGUGGCGAAGGCGGCCCCCUGGAUCAAUACUGACGCUGAGGUACGAAAGCGUGGGGAGCGAACAGGAUUAGAAACCCGAGUAGUCC